GAACGAGACAUGGCCUUCCCAAUAUCUUGUCAUCUCUUUUUCUAUCAUCCAUAUUCUCCUAGCAGCUUUUGAUAAUUUUCCGGUAUACACACGAAGGAUUCCAUGAUCAUAUAAGCGUAAAUUAUUAUCUCAAUUUUGUGAUCAUCGCUUAAGGUGAUCAAGAUUUCUGGGACAGGAUAAGGAAGAGUGUUCGAGUGUUUGGAAAAGACCGUAGAAAUAAAUGUACUGGAUUAGAUAUCCUAUUUCCAUCAAGUUUGACACGUCAGCCCGUUUCGGGUUGGGGUGUUACAUAGAGAGUUUGCGAUGA
rnacentral:lncRNA from 1 species